GCAUAUCAAUAAGCGGAGGAAAAGAAACCAACAGGGAUUGCCCUUAGUAACGGCGAGUGAAGCGGCAACAGCUCAAAUUUGAAAUCUGGCCUCGUGCCCCGAGUUGUAAUUUGUAGAGGAUGCUUUUGGCGACGCGCCUUCCGAGUUCCCUGGAACGGGACGCCAUAGAGGGUGAGAGCCCCGUCCGGUCGUGCGCCUAGCCUCUGUAAAGCUCCUUCGACGAGUCGAGUAGUUUGGGAAUGCUGCUCUAAAUGGGAGGUAUACGUCUUCUAAAGCUAAAUACCGGCCAGAGACCGAUAGCGCACAAGUAGAGUGAUCGAAAGAUGAAAAGCACUUUGAAAAGAGGGUUAAAUAGUACGUGAAAUUGCUGAAAGGGAAGCGCUUAUGACCAGACUUGGGCGUGGCGGAUCAUCCGGCGUUCUCGCCGGUGCACUCCACCACCCCAGGCCAGCAUCAGUUCGCGCCGGGGGACAAAGGCUUCGGGAAUGUGGCUCCCUCGGGAGUGUUAUAGCCCGUUGCGUAAUACCCUGGUGCGGACUGAGGUCCGCGCUCUGCAAGGAUGCUGGCGUAAUGGUCAUCAGUGACCCGUCUUGAAACACGGACCAAGGAGUCGUCUUCGUAUGCGAGUGUUCGGGUGUCAAACCCCUACGCGGAAUGAAAGUGAACGUAGGAGAGAGCUUCGGCGCAUCUCCGACCGAUCCUGAUGUUCUCGGAUGGAUUUGAGUAAGAGCAUACGGGGCCGGACCCGAAAGAAGGUGAACUAUGCCUGUGUAGGGUGAAGCCAGAGGAAACUUCUGGUGGAGGCUCGCAGCGGUUUCUGACGUGCAAAUCGAUCGUCAAACAUGGGGCAUGGGGGGCGAAAGACUAAUCGAACCUUCUAGUAGCUGGUUUCCGCCGA
rnacentral:rRNA from 1 species